UAGUAGUGGCAGUCAGAAACCGACAGGCAGCAGGCAGAGACGAGGUCAAAAAACAGUCACAGAUCAACUCAUGGCACAGGCACUAUCACGAGCUAGGCAAAGGCAGGGUCAACAACGAAGCAAGGUCCAAAUACCAGGUACGAGUCUCAGGAAUGCUGGAAUAAUAGUAGGUGAUCAACAUAACGAUCUGGCAGGGAACUAUGGCUACAGGUGGUUCUUAUAUACUGACUGAACUGAUUACCGAAUGAAGUGCAGGUGUGGAUGAUGACCGGUAAUGGCAGGGAACAGCUGUGACAUGAAAUACAAAGGAAGUCCUUUCAAAGUAAAAUGGGAAAUGAAAACUGGAACUAAAAACCUGACAACUGAGUCCUUUCAAAACAAAAGCGGAAACUAAACACAAUGAACAGGAACCGGAGGUGUUACAAAAUAAAACAGAAACUACUGCGCUAAAACAGGAAACCAAAACAUAAGUGAAAAUCAGAGUCCUUCAGGAAACAACAAGAAACAAAAAACCCAGAUCGUGACACCAAGGUGUCAAAAACAUAGACAUGAACUCUAUCAAAAGCUUUCUUUUGAUCAAUUGAAAAAAUACCAACAUUCAAAUUCUGUACCUUAGACAGAUCAAUAAUAUUGUGCAACAAAAAUUAAUUGUCCAUGAUUGUCCGGUUAGGAACACAGUAUGUUUGACUGCAAUGCACAAUGGUAUUAGUACACCUUGCAAUUAUUUUAUAUUCUGUGCAUAACAGUGACACCAGUCUCCAGUUCUUCAACAAGCAAGGUCUCCUUUUUUUGGUAAGAGUGUCAAGACUGCUCUCGUGCAGCUAAGAGGCAACAUCCCGGAGUCCAGGCAGCUUGUGAACACGUCGAACAUGUCUUUUCCCAAUACAUCCCAGAAGCACUUGCAGAAUUCUGCUGGAAGCCUAUCAAUUCUGACAGAACGACCGUUGCCCAGCUGCUGCACCGCCAUAGACAUUUUAGUAAAAAAUACAGCAGACUCAAGUAAAGCCGAAUGUGCCUCCGUCACCUGACAACCUACCUGAUGUACUGUUUACAAAAAAUUCUGAUUUGUGUCUUUCCAACCCACCACAAAGCCAGAUUUACGAAGUCCCCUUUCCUCAGCCUUCACUCGCUCCAGAAAUCGGCAAAGGCUUCACAAAAAACUUUCAUGAUUUGCACUUUAAAUUGCCAAUAUAAACAUCGCUGAUGCUGCACUAACAGAGACAGGUCUGUUGUCACCAAAUGAAAAAACCCCACCUGUGAUAUUGUAGAUGUUGUUAGUAGAUUACAGUGAGUCUUAUCUAAGUAAAUCCUGUCUAGCCACUCUAACACUUCAUUCAGUAACCCUGAUCCACGUAUAUUGCUUAGUAUCUGGGUUGAAAACCCUCCAUACAUCCACCACAUCAGCUUCAGUAGUUAUCCCCAACAACAGGGACGGAGAUGGCAAAUGUGGUUCCCCCAAAUUCCUAUCCACCUGAGGGUGUGUCUUACAGUUCCAAACGCCCCCUAAAAUGACUAUAGAACUGCCUUCGAGCUGCUUAAAGGUAUCAUGCAGUCUCCGAAACUGCUCCUACGUGAACCAGAAUUAUUUGCAUAAACAUUGAUAAACCUAAAAUAUAUCCCUCUAAUUUUAGCAUCCACUACCUGAACCCUUCCAGACUCAACUUCACGUACUCCCACCUCCAUUAAUUUUACAUAUGGAGAGAAAAGAACAGCCACCCUGCACUUAAGUUGGAACCAUGGCUCAGGAUAACCUGCCCUUUCCACUCAGCUGACCAAUCGGUUUCAUUUUCAGUCGUAUUAUGUCUACGCUUUUGGCAGACGGUGGCCCGACUCUCCCUGUCCCUCCCUCCAUUAAUAUUGAGUGUCCCAAUCCUCAACCUCUCCAUGCAGAGUAGGAAUAAACAAAAACAGAGCAAACAGAAAGAAGUAGUAAACCCAGUGGAAGAGUGAAAUUUAGCCUUAGCAACUAGAGUCAUUUCAGAAUAGGUUAUGCAGUUUUAUUCAUCUCAAAACGCUUGUCCCACUUCUCUGGCAGAGACGAUCAUCAACAGGCAAGAAUACGAAGUGCUGGCACGGAACAAACUCAAACAAACUCACAAUCUGGCAGGGAACAAAGGUAAGUGCUGGUGGCUAUAUACUGAACUAAAGACCGGAUUGAAAACGCCUGUGUGAUCACGUGAUUAAAACAUAAAGCAGGAAAAGGGCAUGACUGAACAGAAACCGGAAGUGACUACAAAAUAAAACAGAAAAUGUGUGGCAAAAACACGUGACAAGCAGGCCAUGAGUCACUGAACACAAAACACCCUUAUAUCCCCAAUGAACAAAAAAACUGACCUAAAAGAAAAUUUUACAGACACGACUGUAAAUGACCACAAGGGUAAUGUCAGUUACUCGUUGUGGGCGUGGCUCAAUUGAAGCAGACUCACCCCAGACCAUGUGUGCCGAGCACGGAGAUUUACGGCAGACUCACUGCCUUCAUGUUUCUUCAAGUUGAAUCUCAGAUGCCGUGUGUGUGUCAGUCAAGCUAGCGAUGCUAAGAUCGAAGACUUCAACACGUUUUCCAAUUAUUGCACCCUUGGUAAGCGGAGCGAGGUAUGUCAUUUUGACUCAUUGUAUUAGUGAACCAAAGUUUUAGAGAACCCGAAAUGUUGACAUUGGUUGUAAUAUUUGUUCUUUGGAAAACUAUAUAUUUUCAGGUGCUUAUUCAGCGGUGCACAUUAAUCAUUUUUUGUGUGUAUUACCAUGCUUUAUUCAGAGCUCACGUUCUGUAUUUAUGUGUAGACAUGUGUGUUACUGUGAUAUAUGUGAGUUUAUUUGCACUUUGUUAAAUGUGAGUGACCACUAAGCAGCAACUUUGUUCAUUUUUAGUUUUCACGGUGCUUGAAGGAUGCUCAAGUGUUGCUGGUCAAACUUCUGUGGAUGACACCACUAAAUAAACUCACCGCACCCAUUAGAGACUCUCCUGUGAAUUUUUUUUGAUACCAAAGGCAGCUACAACGACUAUGAGAAGCUCUACAUACAGGACCUAAGAUAACAACCACUGUGGCAGGGUCUGCCACAUAUUUUUAAACCACUGAAAAAAAAGAGGAGUCAGCCUGGAUUAGUCUAGCUAAAAAUGCUGUAAGCUCACUUCAGCUAAACGGAAAAAACACUCCCCUCCCACCCUCCUAUGAAAACGUGCCACAUGUCUGUUUGUAGCCACGGCCCCUUGUAUAAUCCUCCUCUGUAGAUUCGCAGUACGCUUCUCUAUGGGAGGCUUAUACAGGGACCUCCAACCGCCCCUGGGAGAGGACCCUGGUGGCAACCCACCUGACCACUUCCACUCUGGCACAAAAUCUAGGGAAGCUUUUAUCACCAAUUUAAAAUAUCCACACUAGGAAACUCCAAAGCUCAUUUGCAUGUUUGCAUUGAAAUUAUUAUUAAUUAUUAUAACUUCUCUAACUAUUAUAACAGAUCACUACCCUGUUUUACCUGCAAAAAGUCAUUUAGGGUGGGGGGGGCACUGUCCGGGGGACACACCGUCAGCCAGCGGUCGUGCUCCUGGAGGUGUCACCCACUUUCAGUGCACUCUAGUUCCACACACUCACGUCCAAGCUGGGUUGCAGGGUUCUGGGGUGCCCUGCCCGCUGCCCCCUGCUUUUACCGGGUUUGGGGGGGGUGGGCAGGGCUCAGGAGGAGCUGUGGUCCCUGCCUGGGGCCACAUGGGCCGCAGGCCGGAGACCUACCCUCCCCACGAAUGAGAUCAAGCAAAUGGUGUGAGUGCGAGAAUGUAUCUGAGAGUGCGUGGGUUCACGUAUGAUUGACUAGUUUGUUGUGAGAGAGUUUAUGGUGUGUGUGUUGAUGUACUGUGGGUGGGCAUAUGCGUCUGUGUUUGUGUGAGUUUGUAUGUGUGUGGUGCGGUUGGAGUCGGGGGGGUCCGGUUUUCCGCCGGGUACGUUGAUUGUUUGCCUGGGUGGUCUCUUUUCUGCUGACCCCACCAAUUGCUGGCCUUGUGCUGCGGGCCCGGUUUGGUGCCAGGGGAUGAGGUCGGGCCGAUGGGGUCGGCCCCGCUCCGCUCGUGUGGGGGUGGUGGACUGGGGGCGGGCCCCACUCUGGGUGCGGGGGCAUCUCCUGGCGGGCUCCCUACGGACUAGCGUGGGUCCUCUGGCUCCACUCUUUCAGGCCGACCCUCCCACCGGGGGGAGUGUUUGCCCCUGGUUCUCAUGGGGCGGACAGCGUUGACCCACGGUGGCCCACUCUGACCUCGGGUGCUGUCUCUGUGGCUGCUGCAGCUCUGCCUGGGGGGCUCUGUGUGGGCGGCUUGGGUCGCAACACCUGCCCUCCUGGAACUGAAGGUGUAUGGGCUCCCUGGCUACUAGGAUUCUUUCCUCUGCUUGUUGGAUGGGCGUAGUGACUGAGCCCCUCACAUCACCCUGGCUUCCACAAGUGGCACUGUUCAUGCACCAACGUCUGCCUCACCCUUUGGGUGAAUAAUAUUAAGCUACAGCCUUACUAACCUUGUAGUGGGACACUCAACACUUUUUUUUGGGUUUUCCAAAACCAACUGUAAGUAUUACUGAUACUUAUCACUACCAAUAUCAAUAAUGUGUGAAUAUGGAAAUUGUGGUGUUGUAUGUCUUGACUUUUAUUAAGUAGUAUGGGAUAUGUAUAACAAUGCAUAUGUUUAUGUAUAUGAUAUAUAUAUGUUUCUAUGAGUAUGUACACAUACCUUAACACUAUUAUUGGUAUUAGUAUUAAUCUCCAACGUAAACCACAGUACAACAGUUGUUUAGUUAUGAAUGUGAUAGCCUAAGGUACAUCCCUGCUUAUUUAUUUUGCUCCGAUUGUUUACGUAACAGAUUUGCUUGAUUUCAGCAGCUGGUUGCACCCCCACCCCCACUCCUCCACACACACCCUAAAGCAGAAACUUAACCUGUCCACCAACACAGCAACAUCACACAUAUUUAGGAUUGGCUAAAUAAACCAUUAAAUAAACCAUUCAUCAAGAAGAGUAUAUAUAUUUUAUAAAUACCCCUUUUGUUAAAGCAAAGCUGUCCAUCACAAUAUGGCAUUCAGCGUAAGAUAUGCUGCUUGUUAAACUGCUGGACAGAACAAAAAAAACCCGAAAAUAUAAUAACUUGGUCCUGCUUUACUGUAUUGAAACCAAUUUCUUGCUGAGUUGAUGUUCAACGAUUGUGCUUUGAUUUCAUAGGAAGUUAUUAGAAGUUAUUGAGGCCUCUGUUUUAAAGAGAUAUUCAUUCUAAAAGUGAAUUUCUCUUUAUAUUCUUCUGAAACAUUUUGCUUUCUCUUCUCGACAAAAAUAUUGAUACUUUGGUUGAAUUUUGACUCCUCCUCACUGCUAACGACCUAACUAUCUUGUCUGUCUGCGUCUCUAAGUGCCUGUGUGUAAGCGGCGUGCCUGAGUCUGUAUGCCAGAGCAAAGCUGACUCCCCCCCUCCCUUUUUGCUUUGAGAUCUCACGUGACUCAACGACUUGGGCCCAUAAAAAAAGCAGGUAGAGGACACAUAUGAUGAAGAAGGAUCUGUAUGAAUGAAUCAGGAACGAACUGGAGUCCUGUCUGCUCGCUACAGAGCCGCAGGGGCCUGGCUGACAUGUGACAAAGGAACGAAUCCCCGAAGACGCACACUCAGUUAAGUGAGUUCUGAACAAAUCAUUUCUGUUCCAGUUCUUCUAAGACACUUCUGGUGUGUUAGAAGUACGCCCCCUACUUAUUUCACAUUUUUGAGAGUUUAUCCAAUCCGGUUCGCUUCGCAUCGUUUCAAAUUUGGCGGACUGGAUACAUGUGCAUUCGCGCUGACCAAUCACAGAACCAGCCCCCCCGACAAACCUGGACCCCUAAAUGUACCUGAAACAUUUCGUUUCAGUCACUCCAGUCACAGACAAAAGAAGAAGAAGUCACUCACUGCGCAGUCUACCAUAGGAGGUGGCGCUAAUGCACCUUUCAGUUGGUUGCCACCCGCCAUUUAAAAGUCAAAAAGAAGAAGUCACUCAAUUUGGAGAAGCGCCCUGUUCCUCAAGACGUUAUCCACCUGCUGCUUCCCCAAACGUAAGUACAUGCUUGAUACUUAUUUGAUGUAUGUACUCCAGAAGUUUCUCUGUUUAUAAUGUAGCUUCCCUCCUGUGUAAGGAAUGCUAAUUGCUAGAACCGUUUAAUCUAACAGCUACAGUGACAGAGAGAGACAGUGUUGCAAGGUGCUGACACGCAAUUUGGAUGAGUCCAAGCCACUCCAGCAUUUGUCCGGUUCGAAUCGUGUGAUAUAUGGUACUGAGGUCAUUCACUCAGCUCACAUUAUAGGUGCUAGCGCGAUAGUAGCGCAGCAUUAGCGGCUAGCGUUAGCGGCCAGCGCUAGUAAGUUGUGAGAGUCAGCUGUGUUAAAAAUUACUACCGAGCCUGUCGUGUGUAUGUUGUAGCCCGAGUAGACCCGUGAAUUUGGGUUAUUGCAAGUUCUAUCUAAGUCUAACGUGUGUUGUUGCUUAUCUAGUCAGCUACUUUAGAUGUAAACGCGUGUUUUAUUAUACAUGCUGACGUAUGCCAGCUACCGAAACGCGAGGAGGUUGCUUCUCAAACUGACUCGCGGCUACCUUGUAGAAGAGUAGAAGAGUGCUCACCUCAGGAGCAAAGGUAUGUACAUUUAACAGCAGUAUAAUCAUUUGUUGGCCAAUAUGCAGUUUUAUUUGACAGAGAUUUUGCAUUUCACAUUUCAGUAGUUGUGGUAUUCAUAAUCUGAUCUAUAUUAUUGUCUAUGUAUUUACUCUGUAUGCAGUUGGUCAACUUAUUUCGAUAUUUUAGUCCGUUGACGGGUAAUUUGUUACUCUAGUGUUAUGGUGCAGAUUAUGUGGAAAAUGUGAUGAAGACCAUCUUCAAUAAAGUCCUGCUGGACUCAGGUUGUUCAAUGGAGGACCUUGUAAACAUCCCUGUCCCACCUGCCCUCUGAGCAGAAUUUGAGCAACCUGACAGAAAGGAGGUCAUUAAUGUCAUGCUAAGAUUUAACAAACCAGCACUAUAAAAUAAGUUGAAAACGUGUUUGCUCCAAACGCCAUUAAAACUGAUCUAACUACCUCUAUUUAUUGUUUAGAUCUGUAAAGGUUGUGAGAUACAUAGUCAAUACUGGUCAUUUAAUUAAUCUGCUAUUCUAUUCUUUAUACCUUCUAGAGUGGUGUCAAGAUAAACAGCUGCAUCCUCCAUCUGUACAGCAGCUGCACUGCUUCCGAUGUCUUCCAACACGUGAAGACAAAAAAGAUCCUCACAUCUCCCCAGCCAACUGCUCAUGACUGUACCUGUUCGACUCAAGAAACUAUGCUUUCAACAUAACUAUGAAUCCUACCCGUUCAUUUUGUGGUCUGCAAAUUGAACUGUGACGGUAACUUAUCCAGCAUUAUAGUGCUGGUGCAUUGGUUAAAAAUAAAGUUGGCUUUGACUGUUGCUGUU